UGGAUGAGAUAUGAAGAAUCCUACUUGCACUAAAAAUCUCCUCUCUUAUGGGCUGACCAACAUCUGAAAUCUUGCUCAUUGUUGGCAUCCCAUAUGGGUGUGGGAAUGGGUGCAAUGUGGUUGUCAUAUGUGAUGGCAAUUCUAUCUCAUGUAGGAGUCCUUCUUUCAUGAGUAUUGGACUGAUUCAAAGCAUGUUUGAAUUAAGAGUCCUAUACUUAUUGGGUUAUGAGAAUCAUUUAUAAAUAGAGAAGAUUUUUACCUAUG
rnacentral:lncRNA from 1 species